rnacentral:rRNA from 1 species
GAUGAACGCUAGCUACAGGCUUAACACAUGCAAGUCGAGGGGCAGCAUGGGGUUUGCUUGCAAACCCUGAUGGCGACCGGCGCACGGGUGAGUAACGCGCAUCCAACCUUCCCGUCACUCGGGGACAGCCCAGCGAAAGCUGGAUUAACCCCCGAUGUUGUCAUAUGAUAGCAUUAGAGUGUGACGAAAGGCUAACGGUGACGGAUGGGGAUGCGUCUGAUUAGGUAGUAGGCGGGGUAACGGCCCACCUAGCCGACGAUCAGUAGGGGUUCUGAGAGGAAGGUCCCCCACAUUGGAACUGAGACACGGUCCAAACUCCUACGGGAGGCAGCAGUGAGGAAUAUUGGUCAAUGGGCGAGAGCCUGAACCAGCCAAGUAGCGUGCAGGAAGACGGCCCUACGGGUUGUAAACUGCUUUUAUGAAGGAAUAAAGUCACCCACGUGUGGGUGUUUGCAUGUACUUUAUGAAUAAGGACCGGCUAAUUCCGUGCCAGCAGCCGCGGUAAUACGGAAGGUCCGGGCGUUAUCCGGAUUUAUUGGGUUUAAAGGGAGCGUAGGCCGCCUGGUAAGCGUGUUGUGAAAUGUCGUUGCUCAACAACGUCACUGCAGCGCGAACUGCCGGGCUUGAGUGUGCGGAAAGCGG